rnacentral:lncRNA from 1 species
CUGCAUCUGUGGCAUGUGGAAGUUCCCAGGAUAAGGGGUUGAAUCGGAGCUAUAGCUGCCAGCCUCCACCACAGCCACAGCAACAUGGGAUCCGAGCCACAUCUUGUGACCUACACCACAGCUAACAGCAACACUGGAUCCUCAACCCACUGAGCAAGGCCAGGGAUCGAACCCAGCUGGUCAUGGGUCCUAGUCGGAAUCAUUAACCACUGAGCCAUGAAGGGAAGUCCAAGAUAUUUUUUUUUUUAAAUACAAACUAAAUCCUCUUUAGUGUAUCACAGUUCAGUGGUCCAUGCGGAAGAGACAAUCACCAUUAUUUCAUAACAGGGAGGGUGGCCUCCCUCACUGCCUUAUUGAAAGACAUCCAGCUGGUUCCUUUUAGUCUUAACACUCCAGUUUGGGCAUUGGCCACUUCUAUUCUAAAAUGGGGAGGAGGAAUAACAUGUAAUAAGAAAAAAAAAGACUUAAAUAGAAAAGGGUCUGAAUUUGUAUCCUUUUCAAGCUAACGAGUUAGGCUUCCACAGUCUCAUGAGCCUCCUAGGUCAGAGAUAAAGGCUGUUAUCAUUCAUGGCACACGUGCAGCACCAAUUUCAUGUUCAUUUUGGCUCCUCUCAUCCCCCAAGUUUUGCAGGGGCAAGGAGACAGUCUCAGGUAUGUGCCAGACAUAAGGUUAAGAUCCCCAAGAGUAGGAAAUGCCCAGUCUUUUAUAGAGGGCCUACAAGCAAAACUGCUUAACUUUUGCCCAGAGGGAGCUAUUACUUGAUUACACUAGUCAUGAAACAGAUCUGCCUUUUGACCUAGACGGAGACACUCUAGUUUUCAAGGUGUGAAAACAUCCUUCAAAAGGUAGUCUAGAACAAGCUAUCACAGACACACAAAUGUAAACACUAUGAAGAACUGCCCCACAACACAGGGUAUUAGAUACAAAAAGUGAAAGGAACAUGGAUUAGGGUGAAGAAAUGGAAAUAAGAUUUGAUGCAGGAUACAGCUUUAGAUAGUCGUGUUACUAACUUUAUUAGCAAUUAUUCUGCUUAGAACAAGCCAUCCUAGUCAUGUGUCUCCCCAGUCUGAAGUAUGAGUGUGUUUUAGUAAAGUUCUUUGGAGCGUCUUCUCCAGGGAAGGUUCAAGGAAAAGAGAGAGGUUAUUGGAGAUAAAUUCCACAGAGCUGGCGCCAUUACUACAGUAGUAAAUAAAAACAUUAAAGUCUCUCACUUAUCGUUACUCUCACUAAUCAGCAGCUGAAAAUUCAGUGCUUACCCUUUAAGAAGCAUUCCCUUAGCAAUAAAAAACCUCUUGACUGCAGCCUCUCUUAAUAAAGAGGACGUAGAAUAUCUUUCCCCAUGAGAGAGGACGGAGUGAGAGCAGAUAAGCAUCCUCGGCAAGUUGCAAACGCAAGCAUCAAAAUGAAACGCUCAAGUAAAAGCACAUUUGCCCUCCCUCUGCCCUCCACCCAAGCACCUGCUGGACUGUUUUAGUUCUCAGGAUGUCUAAUGAUUCUCUUCUUAAUGCUACAAGACUCUCCCCUCCAUGUUUCUCACAUAUCAAGGCACCUAAACCUCCUCCAAGCUACAAAUCAAGAGCUAUUAUUUCUGUCUUCUCCUUUUUCGGGGCAGUUGGUUCCUGGAGUUGUAAGAGCAUUAGACCUGAUGGAAAUGAGGUGCACACGGCUGUGAGGAGAGGCUCCUGAAUCAAUUUCACAUGAUGAUCCUAGAGACAAGAUGAUAAGGGCUUUGACUUCUUCGAGUGGACAAUCCUUGGGUGUUCUUAAAGCUGCCAAUCAUGAAACUAAACUUGGUCAGAAUUAUCUGGAGAGCUUUGAAGAAUGAAAAGGAACUGAUGCUAUAUUGCCUUGAAAACUACAACAACAACAACAACAAAAAAGGUUGAAUUACAUUUGAUUGAAAACACAGUUGGAAUAAGUACCCUUGGAGCUGUGAUUUUUCAUUUCAACCUACAGGCUUUAUAUUACUUCUCAAGACUCUGCAACAGCCAACAGCUAGCUAACCACUCGGUUUGAUAUGCAUGUUUGUAUGUAUUUUGGGAGCUGUAAGGAGGGAAGUAAAAAAAAACUCUUUUGAUCCGUUGAAGGAAAAACAUAAUUUAAUUUGUGCUAUGUGAAGUGAGUUUAAAGUGGUAUCUGGAUUCCUUCAGUAUGGAUCGGCUUCAAAAAGUGAAAAUUUUUAUACAUGGAAAAGAGCUAACAACAAGCUCCGUGAGUUGGACUGGAGAGUCAUGCUUUUUUUUCAACUAGAAAAAGCAAGUGUUACUCAAUCAAAUCUGGCUUGAUUAAAAUUUUCAUAGGGAUUUGAAAUUUUAAAACUAGACAAAUUAACUAAGUCUUUAAUGUCCAUCUUGAUUCUUAGAAAAUCACUAGGACUGAAAAAAAUCUUCUUGCACAGACUAAUUCUGGCCAUGGCUAAUUCCUCAUAUGGAACAAUCAGACGGAACUCAGGAGCAGGUAUUAUUUUUAAUAAAAAUAUCAAAUUGGGCCCAACAUUAAUUUUAACUAUUAUCGAUGGCUAAAGGAGAGGCUGAAAUAGCACGAACUCAUUUUUUUCCUGCCCCUAAGAGAAGUAUUUAAGAACAUUUCAAAGCUUUUCUCUCAACAGUUGAGGAAAGCAACAAAAAUAAUUUGGCAAUAAGAGGAAACUCUACCUGUAUUUUUUCUUCUUUUUAGCAAAUUAUGGAUCACCAUUAUUUUGUUCUUCCGAAAAAAAUUGCAUCUGACUGAUCAAAUACAAUUAAUUAGGGGGGAAAAGUAUUUUUAAUGUCAAUAAACCAGGAGAAUAAUUUUAGUUCAAAGGGAUUUAAAAAAAAAAUCUGAUUUGGUUAAUUUGUUCACACUGAAAUUACUGUAUGUUGAAUCAGAUUAGUUCCACCCACUGACGCUCACAGUUUGCCUGAAUUGGAAUUCCAGUCCUACUGUUUACUAGCUGGGUCCCCUUGGUUAUGCUUAUUGUCUAAGUCUCAGGCUUUUUGUUCAAAGUAGUCGAUAAAUUAAUUGAUUUUUACAGUGUGUUGAGUACUCCUCAAAGGGCUUGGCAUGAGGUAAUUCAUUUAUUACUUACACCAACUCUAUGAAGUAGGCACCAUAUUAUCGCUCUUCUGAUUUCUCAGAUAAGGAACCAGAGUCCCAGAGAGAGUGGGUUGUUUCUUGGAGGUCCCAGGGCUAGUCUGCAGUAGAGCAAAGCUUUGAACCCAAAUAGGCUGCUCCUGGCUUCUGGUGACGAUGUGGGCUUCUCUGUCAAUACACUUCUCCAGGGUGUGGGCAUUUCAUGCAAAAAUGCUGGUCAAGCACAUAGCCCAGGUCUGGCACGUAUUAAAUACUUAAAAACUGUUACCUCUAACUGUCAUCCACCCAGAAUUCCUGGGAAUGAUCAUCAAGUCUCCACUAUAAGUACUAGGUAUUUGAUGAAUAACAUGUGCCUUAAGCUAUUUAGAUGUCUCCCACUGCCCGCCUGAGAAAGUUCUGUUUCUACGACUGAGAACAGCAUUUUCUCAAUCACCCAAAGUUGAUUUUUAACAAUUUUUAUAUAAAUAUAUUAUAGAUUCAUAAUUAAAAAAACAGUAACUCCAAUUCUCGUGUACCUACCACCCAGCUUAAGACAAAGAAGAAUACCAGUAACUUUGCAGCCCCCACAUACCCCUCUCGGCGUGCACCCCUGCCCUGGAGUAUAGUCGCCAGCUUACAGGUCACGCUCCUCGGAGCUGACAUGAGUAGCAUCCUCAGCCGUCUCCACUCAAAGACAGUCGGGCACAAAUCUUCUCAUUUUUCUUCACUGAGAAAUUUCAUUCCCCCUAUGAGUUUCCUGUUGCUGCUAUAACAAAUUACGACUACCUUAGUGGCCUGAAACAACCCAGAUUUACUCUCUGACCAUUCUGCCAGUUCAGCCAUCUGAAAUCAGUUUCACUGGUCAGUAGGGCUAGUUCCUCCCGGAGACUCUGAGGGAAGAAUCCAGUUCCUUGCCUUUUCUCAGCUUCUUGUGACGGCCUGCACCUCUCAGUUUGUGGCUCCUGCCUCCAUUGCACUUGUCCGAUCCCUGCCUCCAUCAUCACAUCACUCUGACUCCUCGUGUCUGUUAAGGGCUGUUGUGGCUGUAUCCCACCCACCUAGAUAGUCCAGAAUACUCUCUUCUUCACUUAAUCACAUCUGUAAAGUCCCUUCUGCCAUGGGAGGUAAUGUUCAGAGGGCCCAGGGAUGAGAACAUGGGCAUAUUUGGGGGGCUGUUAUUCAAUUUACCCUACUCCUAUCUUUUUUAUUUUUUGACUGUCACUAGAGUCCUAAGCCAGAUUGUGAUUUCUCACUUCUAAUCCAUUGUUGUAAUUGCCUCCUGGUUAGCCUGGCUGCUCAGAGGCAAGGCAAAGGUGGUAUCAAGAAGUAUACACAUUCUCAUUUAAAAAAAGUGUGUACACAUUCUCCAGGCACCAUAUAUGGAGUGCCACAUGUGCCAGAGAAUGUCUUUAUUCCAAUUUUGUACCGAUUUACUAACUUUACAUCUGUUGUGCAUGCAGCGUAUAAAGUGUUCCUGAGCUGUGCUAUGUAUUUAUUCAUUUUUCAGUGAAUGUCAGCCCCAGAUAGGGAGAUGGGGCUGGAACAUGGUGCAACACCUCUGGGUCCCAUUUAUCCUCACGGCAUCAGGAUAGUCGUUUCAUUUGCUCUUCUCCAUCAUCAGCCCUGCCCUGCGAUACCAAACCCACUUUUUCAAGAUGCAAGACACCGGCUUAUCAAAAAACAAAAAUAAAAAAAGAACAAGCCAGUCAAUGGCUAUAGUCAUUGCCUACAGUCAUGCUUCUCAAACUUAUUAAGUUGAAGAGUAACUGGGAAUCAUGUUACUUCAGGCAGGAAUUUCAUAAACGGACAAAAAUAAGGACAGGACUGGCUGCAGAAAGACCUGAGGUUUAGUUCUGAAGCCCCACUUUCUUAGUUCCACACCCUUGAGCAGAAUGCAUGUCCUUUUGGAGCUGCAGCUGUUAUGGAGAGGGAAAAAAAAUGAGAUAUUAUACAUAAAACGUUUAGCCCAGCACCUGGCACUUGGUAGGGGCUCAAAAAUCUUCACUUCAGGGAAAUACUGUGCUCUUUGCAGAAAACCAUGAAGUAUUCAUCAUU